GGUGGAGAGCAAGACUCCAUCUCGGAAGAAAAAAAAAGAGAUAAGUGAUAGAGGUUGAUAUUUGUUAAAUAUCAAGUGAGCGAAUAGGUUUGUGCUAUAAAAGUUAAGAGACAUAAUUAAUUGCUUAGUGAACGCUGGAGGCAGUUCACAAAGGCCUCAGAGAAGAUCACACAUAUUUUGUGUCUUGAAAGAUGGUGAGACUUAAAUAAACGCAGAAAAUAUUCCAGGCACAAGAAAACUAUCAAAAAAUACAGAAAGGAAAAUAUAAAGAGGGCUGUUUGAGUUACAAUAAAUCAGUUUGACUUGCAUGAAAGUCAAGAAGAAGUUUUAAGAACUUGGAGUCUUCUUAAAUGCCAAGCAAGGAAAUUUGGGCUUUAGACAGAGUAGAUAUUAGGAGCAUAAAAACAGGUGAUUUGCUUCAAACUGUAUUUUAACGGGACCACCAGGAGUUGAUUCAAACUCAGAAUAGUCGGGCCAGCUGCCUUGUGGACCGACUUUCCCCCUUCUCAUUGGCCUUGUGCUUUGAAAAAAAUUCUCUUGACAAAGUUAUUAGAGUAGAAACAAAAGGCAGAACUGAUAAGAUUAGUCCUUUUCUAAUGGAACCAGAAAAGAAGGGGCAGAAAUGAAGGCAGAAGGGAGAAGCGGGGGUGGGGGGAGAGAGAGAAGCAAAAAGGAUUCACUCAAGAACCUGGUAUUCAAAACUAUGUGUACCAGCACUACCACAGCGGUAUGACUCAGUGUCCACCUAAAGCAUGAUAAUACUGCUUACCAAAAAAAAGUAUGGAGGGAAUGAAAAGUUGGGUUAGUUUUAAGUGAUGCGUCACAGAACAGAAUUCAGUGGUAAAAAGCUUAGGCUGGGAAAAGAGCUUGAAACAGCAAAGGAAUGAGAGGAACGACCCAAAAGCCAAGGGCCAUAUAGUGAUGUCUGAAAAAUCAGAAUCAAGUAAUAAUAUUGAAUACUGCAAAAGUCAGAGAAAAUGCGGAAUAAGAAAGCAAGCGAUCUGGAAAGUGGCGAGUAAGAUGGAAUAUGAGGAGGUCGCUGAGAGCUGGGAGGAGGCGGUAGACAGCGGGGAAAUAGACGUCUGGAAAAAAAAUGAAGAUCACACAAAAACAGCAGGAAAUCCAAAUCUCCCAAAGUGCCCAUGGUGAUUCAGGACGAUAGUUUUCCCCAGGUACCCCCUCCACCGCAUCCUCAAGAGGCCCACCAGCAACGGUGUGGUCAACAGCCCCAGGUCCGCUAGCAGACCCGCCCUUCCAGUCAAGUCCCUGGCACAGCGGGAGGCCGAGUACGCCGAGACUCGGAAGCGGAUCCUGGGCAGCGCCGGCCCGGAGGAGAAGCAGGAGAAACCCAUCCUCGAUAGGCCUUUCUCUGAUCUUUUUCCCUUCAGGCUAACCAGGAUCUCCCAACCCGAAGACAGCAGGCAGCCCAAUAAUGUGAUCAGACAGCCUCUGGGUCCUGAUGGGUCACAAGACUUCAAACAGCGCAGAUAAAUGCAGGCAAGAAGAUAUGGCGCGACUGCCGCGUCAACGCUUCCUGCGUCGUCCGCCAAGGGUUGCACUUUCGUGGCGGACAGCUGGACUUGAGCAGCGGGAACCUGACUUACUUGCCCGGUGAUCCCCGUUGCUCCGCCACUGUGACCUUGAACCCCAUGCACUGUGACCUCCCCCCUUCUCCCCUUCCCACUGUGAUUGGCACUUCGACAAGGACUGUCCCAAGUCAAUGGAAAGGGAAAGGGUGGGGGUUAGGAGAAGGUUAGGGGGAACCCACCAAGUACUCAGAGAGUCAGACAGGGCCAGAAAUAACGGUUUAUCAUGCUCGUUAAUUUGGGAUUUCAAAACACAAAUGAACUCACACCUAUCCACCCCAAGUGCAUGUCUUCAUCACUUAAAAAGUGAGUUCCCUUUGAAAAAAAAAAAAGAAAGCAAACCAUCUGCUCACUCUAAAAGCAGUUGCUAUUGUUUAUGACUUUACCAUUUAAAAAAAUACAGACCAGCUGCUGCUGUUUGCUUGCAUUCCACAGUUAUCCUGUGUCACUUUGCCCUUUGUUGUGCUUACUUGAAGUUUCUCUAGAGGCAAACUGCUUAUUUUUAGUAGCGUUGUUCUUGAUGCCCAAGAGGUGUUUCAAGAGGUUGAGAUACUUAGAGUGUCUUUAUAUUCUUUGGGACAUAAACUCUGCAAAACAAGGCUCACACCUGUAAUCCCAGCAUU